rnacentral:lncRNA from 1 species
UGUAGACUUGUAUCCAUCUUUUGGUAGGUGUCUUGGCAUUCAGUAGCUGUACAUUCGUCCGAGUCCCUCCACUGGAAGUCAAGUCUUCUUUUUGAGAUGUAUAGACAAACUUGAUGUAAAUUAUUGAGAUAUAUGUUGUAGGCAAUGUACACUUAAAUGGGUAUGCCGGUAUAAGUUGGCAUUGUUUAAUAUUAAUUUGAUUCUAAGUUAUGAAAUGUGAAUUAGUAGUUUAUGAUGGAAUGAUAAACAUGUCAGACUAAUAAGCUUGCUUGGGCUUAAUGGACUAUGUCUAUUGGGCCCUUAUGUCGGUCAUGGCCCGGAAUUUGGGUCGUGACAGUAAAUUAAAUUACAUAUCUUGACUAUUUGUAUUACAGUAUGUAUGAAUUUAUUUCGCUUUUACAAUACAAAAA